rnacentral:rRNA from 1 species
ACCCCGGCGAGGGGAGUGAAAAAGAACCUGAAACCGUGUACGUACAAGCAGUGGGAGCCUCUUAAUGGGGUGACUGCGUACCUUUUGUAUAAUGGGUCAGCGACUUAUAUUCUGUAGCAAGGUUAACCGAAUAGGGGAGCCGAAGGGAAACCGAGUCUUAACUGGGCGUUAAGUUGCAGGGUAUAGACCCGAAACCCGGUGAUCUAGCCAUGGGCAGGUUGAAGGUUGGGUAACACUAACUGGAGGACCGAACCGACUAAUGUUGAAAAAUUAGCGGAUGACUUGUGGCUGGGGGUGAAAGGCCAAUCAAACCGGGAGAUAGCUGGUUCUCCCCGAAAGCUAUUUAGGUAGCGCCUCGUGAAUUCAUCUCCGGGGGUAGAGCACUGUUUCGGCAAGGGGGUCAUCCCGACUUACCAACCCGAUGCAAACUGCGAAUACCGGAGAAUGUUAUCACGGGAGACACACGGCGGGUGCUAACGUCCGUCGUGAAGAGGGAAACAACCCAGACCGCCAGCUAAGGUCCCAAAGUCAUGGUUAAGUGGGAAACGAUGUGGGAAGGCCCAGACAGCCAGGAUGUUGGCUUAGAAGCAGCCAUCAUUUAAAGAAAGCGUAAUAGCUCACUGGUCGAGUCGGCCUGCGCGGAAGAUGUAACGGGGCUAAACCAUGCACCGAAGCUGCGGCAGCGACACUAUGUGUUGUUGGGUAGGGGAGCGUUCUGUAAGCCUGUGAAGGUGUGCUGUGAGGCAUGCUGGAGGUAUCAGAAGUGCGAAUGCUGACAUAAGUAACGAUAAAGCGGGUGAAAAGCCCGCUCGCCGGAAGACCAAGGGUUCCUGUCCAACGUUAAUCGGGGCAGGGUGAGUCGACCCCUAAGGCGAGGCCGAAAGGCGUAGUCGAUGGGAAACAGGUUAAUAUUCCUGUACUUGGUGUUACUGCGAAGGGGGGACGGAGAAGGCUAUGUUGGCCGGGCGACGGUUGUCCCGGUUUAAGCGUGUAGGCUGGUUUUCCAGGCAAAUCCGGAAAACCAAGGCUGAGGCGUGAUGACGAGGCACUACGGUGCUGAAGCGACAAAUGCCCUGCUUCCAGGAAAAGCCUCUAAGCAUCAGGUAACAUCAAAUCGUACCCCAAACCGACACAGGUGGUCAGGUAGAGAAUACCAAGGCGCUUGAGAGAACUCGGGUGAAGGAACUAGGCAAAAUGGUGCCGUAACUUCGGGAGAAGGCACGCUGAUAUGUAGGUGAAGCGACUUGCUCGUGGAGCUGAAAUCAGUCGAAGAUACCAGCUGGCUGCAACUGUUUAUUAAAAACACAGCACUGUGCAAACACGAAAGUGGACGUAUACGGUGUGACGCCUGCCCGGUGCCGGAAGGUUAAUUGAUGGGGUUAGCGGUAACGCGAAGCUCUUGAUCGAAGCCCCGGUAAACGGCGGCCGUAACUAUAACGGUCCUAAGGUAGCGAAAUUCCUUGUCGGGUAAGUUCCGACCUGCACGAAUGGCGUAAUGAUGGCCAGGCUGUCUCCACCCGAGACUCAGUGAAAUUGAACUCGCUGUGAAGAUGCAGUGUACCCGCGGCAAGACGGAAAGACCCCGUGAACCUUUACUAUAGCUUGACACUGAACAUUGAGCCUUGAUGUGUAGGAUAGGUGGGAGGCUUUGAAGUGUGGACGCCAGUCUGCAUGGAGCCGACCUUGAAAUACCACCCUUUAAUGUUUGAUGUUCUAACGUUGGCCCGUAAUCCGGGUUGCGGACAGUGUCUGGUGGGUAGUUUGACUGGGGCGGUCUCCUCCUAAAGAGUAACGGAGGAGCACGAAGGUUGGCUAAUCCUGGUCGGACAUCAGGAGGUUAGUGCAAUGGCAUAAGCCAGCUUGACUGCGAGCGUGACGGCGCGAGCAGGUGCGAAAGCAGGUCAUAGUGAUCCGGUGGUUCUGAAUGGAAGGGCCAUCGCUCAACGGAUAAAAGGUACUCCGGGGAUAACAGGCUGAUACCGCCCAAGAGUUCAUAUCGACGGCGGUGUUUGGCACCUCGAUGUCGGCUCAUCACAUCCUGGGGCUGAAGUAGGUCCCAAGGGUAUGGCUGUUCGCCAUUUAAAGUGGUACGCGAGCUGGGUUUAGAACGUCGUGAGACAGUUCGGUCCCUAUCUGCCGUGGGCGCUGGAGAACUGAGGGGGGCUGCUCCUAGUACGAGAGGACCGGAGUGGACGCAUCACUGGUGUUCGGGUUGUCAUGCCAAUGGCACUGCCCGGUAGCUAAAUGCGGAAGAGAUAAGUGCUGAAAGCAUCUAAGCACGAAACUUGCCCCGAGAUGAGUUCUCCCUGAGACUUAGAGUCUCCUGAAGGAACGUUGAAGACGACGACGUUGAUAGGCCGGGUGUGUAAGCGCAGCGAUGCGUUGAGCUAACCGGUACUAAUGAACCGUGAGGCUUAACCUUACAACGCCGAAG